UUAGCUAACCUUAAAGGAGGCCCUUCUGAACUUUGAAUCAAAUACGUUAAUUUUUCCGUAUCAUCAACGUUAGGUCUACGGUGCACAAGCGCAUCGAACAAGUCAAAAAAA
rnacentral:lncRNA from 1 species